AUUGAACGCUGGCGGCAUGCUUUACACAUGCAAGUCGAACGGUAACAGGCCUUCGGGUGCUGACGAGUGGCGAACGGGUGAGUAAUGCAUCGGAACGUACCCAGUCGUGGGGGACAACGUAGCGAAAGUUAAGCUAAUACCGCAUACGACCUGAGGGGGAAAGAAGGGGAUCGCAAGACCUUGCGCGAUAGGAGCGGCCGAUGUCAGAUUAGCUGGUUGGUGGGGUAAAGGCUCACCAAGGCGACGAUCUGUAGCGGGUCUGAGAGGAUGAUCCGCCACACUGGGACUGAGACACGGCCCAGACUCCUACGGGAGGCAGCAGUGGGGAAUUUUGGACAAUGGGGGCAACCCUGAUCCAGCCAUACCGCGUGCGGGAAGAAGGCCUUCGGGUUGUAAACCGCUUUCGGACAGAAAGAAAUCGCAUGGGCUAAUACCCUGUGUGGAUGACGGUACUGUAAGAAGAAGCACCGGCUAACUACGUGCCAGCAGCCGCCGUAAUAC
rnacentral:rRNA from 1 species